rnacentral:tRNA from 1 species
GCCGGGAUGGCGGAAUUGGUAGACGCGACGGACUCAAAAUCCGUUGUCCGCAAGGACGUGGGGGUUCAAGUCCCCCUCCCGGUA